UAAUUAUUAUUAUUAUCACCCCCAACCUCAAGCCAUAAUUCUGCCUGCCUCACCACCUUGAACCUCCCCAGAGAACUAUUAGCUGUUUAACAAUUUUCUCAUAGAGACUGUUAGGAUUAAUCCCAUCCUGCCUUAUAUCCUUUUUUACUUCAGUUACUACCUGAAGUCCAAGCAACCUAGAGAACAGUGUAUAAUAUGCUAUCAUGGUGCUAAAACGAGUAUAUUUGGCCAGGCACAGUAGCUCAUGCCUAUAAUCCUAGCUCUUUGGGAGGCCAAGAUGGGUGGAUCGCUUGAUUCUAGGAGUUUGGGACCAGCCUGGGCAACAUGGCAAAACCAUAGCUCUAAAUGAGUUCAGAGGUGGCAGAUGUUAAUGUCAGCUUACGUUGAGGUAAGCCACAAAUUCUCGUGUUUUUUUCAGAGUUCCCCAUCAGGUGGAACAAAACUUGUCCUGUUACCUACCCUCAAAGACAAACCAGCAACCAGUUCACCACCCAUCCACCCUUUCAGUGUCUUCUUGUUGAUCUUUGGAGAAAGGCAUGGCCUGGCAGGCUCUGCAUGGUGCCACAGGCCUAUCUAGCUCCUGUCUCUCCUGCAUUUCCUUCCCUACUGGCUGCUUUCACUCUUUAAGCUCCUGCCCACCCCAGGGACUUUGCACAUGCUAUUUUUUCUACCUCCUCUGCUCUUCUGCCCUCUUUAUUUAGGCAACUUCUACUCAUCCUUCAGAUCCCAGGUCAAGCAUAUCCUUCUUCAGGGAAGGUUUGCUUGACAUCGCUGAUGGGGUCAAAUCCUCCUUUUAGAGGCUAUCACCACACGCUGCAUCUGUAUUUUAUAACACUUGUCACAGUAUUAUAUUUGUCUGGUUCUUUGAUUGAUAUCUAUUACU
rnacentral:lncRNA from 1 species